UUUGCUUAGAAGAAAAGUGCAUUUGUCUUUGAAAAAGGAAGGUGCUGAGGACUGCCUUUGACAGAAACAGCUUCAUGGGAACUCUCAGAUGCUGACACACUGACCCUCCGUGCUUGGCUGCAGUUUCCAAGAAAUUAUUUGGGGCAUAUGGAGGGAAUGUCAGUGUAACAGUAUUGGCUUGUGAAGAGAGCUUGGAAUUCAAAUUCCCCUUGUGAAGGAGAUGUACUGAUGCUGGCAACACAGAACACUUUCUCUGCAGCACCAAAGAUCAUCUGAUCAUGUCCAUUCAAACAGAAACCUGUUCCAUAUAGCUCCCCACACAUCUUCUCUGGGCACAGAAAAACCGAGAAAACUUAUACCCCAAAGAAAAGGAGAAAAAUCAUUAUUGACCAGUGGAUAUGCAAUGUGAAGAAAUCUGAUCAUAAACAUAUAACCACCCAACAGACCUCAGUACAAGAAAUAAGGACAAUCUGCCUUAAAACACAUGAAUGUGAUUCAUUAAAUUUAGUUAUU